rnacentral:rRNA from 1 species
CCUACGGGAGGCAGCAGUGGGGAAUAUUGGGCAAUGGGCGCUAGCCUGACCCAGCAACGCCGCGUGAAGGAAGAAUGCUUUCGGGUUGUAAACUUCUUUUCUCAGGGACGAAGAAAGUGACGUUACCUGAGGAAUAAGCCACGGCUAACUACGUGCCAGCAGCCGCGGUAAUACGUAGGUGGCAAGCGUUAUCCGGAUUUAUUGGGUGUAAAGGGCGUGUAGGCGGGAGGGAAAGUCAGAUGUGAAAAUUCAGGGCUCAACCCUGAGCGUGCAUUUGAAACUGGGUUUCUUGAGUGCUGGAGAGGUAAUCGGAAUUCGGGGUGUAGCGGUGAAAUGCGUAGAUAGCACGAGGAACACCAGUGGCGAAGGCGGAUUGCUGGACAGUAACUGACGCUGAGGCGCGAAAGCGUGGGGAGCAAACAGGAUUAGAUACCCGAGUAGUC